UGGGCAUGGCUAUGAAGCCCACAUAAAACUAACAUGGUUCAGCGAGGGGGUGCCUGCGCGUUGAGGGAGUGUGAUUAGUAAAAGCAUGGGCCUGGGGCCCGAUGCCACAAGUGCAAGGUAUCCAAAGAGAGGGGUUCAGUAGCCAUUAUAUCAUUAUCACAUGUCACGUGCUCAGAACAUUUGUUCUUCUCUCAAAUCACAUAUGACCUGAGAAUACUAUCUCCGCCGCGCCGUAAUUCGCCACCAGCGGCGGCGGAGACUCAAACCACACGAUCCACACGAUCCACACAACAUUCUCUUCGUCUCAUUUUUUUAUAUUACCCUACCACAUUCAAAUUCACACUUUAACCUUCAAAUUAAACCAUAAUCCAUAAGAACCCUAAGUUUCUAUUUUCAAAAUUCAAUGCAAGGAGAGAGUGAUUUGGAGUCCAAACCAUAUGGGUUUGGCUCCUUAAUCAUCAAACUACAUUGCGGUAACACGAUCUAAGGCUCCAUAUGUGUUGUUUAACUGGUGCGUGAAAGAUGCAGAGGAUUGGAUGGAGAGUGAGAGCGGUUUAGAGAAGGAUGGGUGAUGAUUAUGAGUUCUUUGUGCAAAUGAUUGAAGUUAAGAAUUUAUAGGGAUUGGAGUGUUUAAAACUGUGAGGUUCUGUUAUAUUCUAACUGUGCAAAUCAGUUACAAGUUAAAACUCUGUUAAUUAUUCAGUUAGAGUUAGUUUUAGUUCUGUUAAAAAUUAUGUUAAUUAUGUUAGUUGCAUGUUGGGAUUUCGGUUAGUUACUUGAAAAAGUGUUAAGUUAGUUGGGGUGAUUCACAUGUAGGUUAGUGUAACUGAAGGUUAGUUAAGGCUAGGAGAAUUGAAGCUCUGUUAGAAAUUAUUGCAUUGAUAUUGUGUGAUUUUCUACAGUUAAUUGCUAGAAUUAUAGACGCAUCAGUUAGCAUUAGAUUUGGUGUUAAGCUAGUAGAAGGUUCAAAUAGGAUGCCGUUAGUUAUAGGUUUAGCAGAUGAAAUGAACAAGUGAUAGCUAGUUAGAGUCAGUAUUAACAAACUGGGUUAGUUUGUUAGUAUAGACUCUUGUUGUGAAUUGAUGUGUUGAUGUUGUAUUAAUGAUGUUGAAUUGCUGCCAAGCCCUGUGCCUUGCUUGGAAUUGCUUUGGUUAGGCUAUUACGGUAAUGAUGAUGGUUAGAAUCCAGUUAGCAUGAUUCAUGGACUGUCAGGGUGGAAGGAUAAGGUUGGGCAUGGAUUGAAGAAUUUACUCAAGGCUCGGAACCUUUGGCAAAAAAGAUAAAGGCUAUGGAUAGCUUGGGGAAUGAAGAAAAUGUCCUAACUAGGAUUAGGACUAGUAGAGUUGACUUUGAUCAACUGGUUCACCAAAAAGUCAAUAGUUGACCAGAGUCAAUCGUAGGUCAAAGUUGUGAUUUUUGUGUGUGUAGGUUUUGGACUUUUGGAAUGAAUUGUAAUGGCUUGUGAUGUGAAGGACCCUGGAUGACCUUAUAGUGAAAAAAAGAGAUGAAUUUGUAUGGUUUGUUCUAAGUUAAAUUGUAACUUUGUGUUGAUCCUUUGAAUUAA